AUCACCAUCCUCACGGUCAUGGGCGUGGUCAAGUCCAACAGCAAGUGCUCCACGGUGGGCAUCCAAGGGAUUGCCUGGGCCUUCGGUGGCAUGAUCUUUGCCUUGGUCUACUGUACCGCCGGGAUCUCUGGUAAGGGAUCUGCUUUCCCUUCCAUUUGGGUCUCUGAAACCUUUUGGUCGACUCACUUCUGCUAAAUCGUCAGGUGGCCACAUCAACCCCGCGGUGACCUUCGGGCUGUUCCUGGCGAGGAAGCUGUCGCUGACCAGGGCUCUGUUCUACAUGGUGAUGCAGUGCCUGGGCGCCAUCUGCGGUGCCGGUGUGGUCAAGGGGUACCAGAAGGGGCUCUAUGAGAGCAACGGUGGCGGAGCUAACGUCGUGGCUCCUGGCUACACCAAGGGUGAUGGCCUGGGUGCUGAGAUCGUCGGCACCUUCAUCCUCGUCUACACUGUUUUCUCUGCUACUGACGCCAAAAGAAACGCCAGGGACUCUCAUGUUCCCGUGAGUACAUGUCCAAGUUCUUGAUGUUGACCAUGGUUGAUCUGAUCUAACAAGUGUUACGGAUCUGUGCAGAUUUUGGCUCCCCUCCCCAUUGGGUUUGCCGUGUUCCUUGUCCACCUGGCUACCAUCCCCAUCACCGGCACCGGCAUCAACCCUGCCAGAAGCCUUGGCGCUGCCAUCAUCUACAACAAGAAGCAUGCCUGGGAUGAUCAUGUAAGUGUGUCUGUGGAACCCUCACAAGCCUCAGAUGACACUACUUACUAACUGUCCUGUUUCCUUGUCUCAGUGGAUCUUUUGGGUUGGACCCUUCAUUGGAGCUGCUCUUGCUGCCAUCUAC
rnacentral:lncRNA from 1 species